rnacentral:lncRNA from 1 species
CGUUCUGGGUUGAUCAUCAAAGCCCAGCAAGUUCCUGUUGAACCUGAGACCAGCCGCAGGGCUGUUCUUGGCUUGGUCGCCGCCGGUCUUGCUUCCGGCUCUUUCGUUCAAGCCGUUCUCGCUGAAGCUAAGCCCAUCAAAGUCGGUCCUCCCCCACCUCCCUCUGGUGGACUCCGUAAGUAAUUCCAACACUAAAUUUACCAUAAUCCAUCAGCUUAAAUAUUUAGGCGUCACCAAAAAAGGGAUCUUAUUGUUGCAGCUGGGACUCUGAACUCGGACGAGCCAAGGGACUUGGACCUUCCAUUGAAAGAUAGGUUCUUCCUGCAACCACAAAGUCCAGCAAUGGCUGUGGCAAGAGCAAAAGAAUCAGCCAAAGACAUUAUCAAUGUAAAAGGGCAGAUAGAGAAGAAGGCUUGGCCAUUUGUUCGUGAUGACCUUCGUCUUAAAGCAGAGUACCUUCGUUAUGAUCUCAAGACAAUCAUUUCUGCUAAGCCUAAGGAAGAGAAGCAGGCCCUUAAGGACCUCACCGGAAAACUCUUCCAAGACAUCAAC